GGGUGCGUAACGCGUGGGAAUCUGCCUUGGGGUUCGGAAUAACUCCCCGAAGGGGGUGCUAAUACCGGAUGAUGUCGAAAGACCAAAGAUUUAUCGCCCUGAGAUGAGCCCGCGUAGGAUUAGCUAGUUGGUGUGGUAAAGGCGCACCAGGGCGACUAUCCUUAGCUGGUCUGAGAGGAUGAUCAGCCACACUGGGACUGAGACACGGCCCAGACUCCUACGGGAGGCAGCAGUGGGGAAUAUUGGACAAUGGGCGAAAGCCUGAUCCAGCAAUGCCGCGUGAGUGAUGAAGGCCUUAGGGUUGUAAAGCUCUUUUACCCGGGAAGAUAAUGACUGUACCGGGAGAAUAAGCCCCGGCUAACUCCGUGCCAGCAGCCGCGGUAAUACGGAGGGGGCUAGCGUUGUUCGGAAUUACUGGGCGUAAAGCGCACGUAGGCGGCUUUGUAAGUCAGAGGUGAAAGCCUGGAGCUCAACUCCAGAACUGCCUUUGAGACUGCAUCGCUUGAAUCCAGGAGAGGUGAGUGGAAUUCCGAGUGUAGAGGUGAAAUUCGUAGAUAUUCGGAAGAACACCAGUGGCGAACGCGGCUCACUGGACUGGUAUUGACGCUGAUGUGCGAAAGCGUGGGGAGCAAACA
rnacentral:rRNA from 1 species